GGCGACGAUGCGUAGGGGUUCUGAGAGGAAGGUCCCCCACACUGGUACUGAGACACGGACCAGACUCCUACGGGAGGCAGCAGUGAGGAAUAUUGGUCAAUGGCCGCAGGGCUGAACCAGCCAAGUCGCGUGAGGGAUGACGGUCCUAUGGAUUGUAAACCUCUUUUGUCAGGGAGCAAAGGACGCCACGUGUGGCGUUUUGCGAGUACCUGAAGAAAAAGCAUCGGCUAACUCCGUGCCAGCAGCCGCGGUAAUACGGAGGAUGCGAGCGUUAUCCGGAUUUAUUGGGUUUAAAGGGUGCGCAGGCGGAAUGUCAAGUCAGCGGUAAAAUUUCGGGGCUCAACCCCGUCGUGCCGUUGAAACUGGCGUUCUUGAGUGAGCGAGAAGUAUGCGGAAUGCGUGGUGUAGCGGUGAAAUGCAUAGAUAUCACGCAGAACUCCGAUUGCGAAGGCAGCAUACCGGCGCUCAACUGACGCUCAUGCACGAAAGCGUGGGUAUCGAACAGGAUUAGAUACCCUGGUAGUCCACGCAGUAAACGAUGAAUACUAACUGUCCGGGCCGAUUGAGGUCUGG
rnacentral:rRNA from 1 species